CUACGGGGGGCUGCAGUGGGGAAUAUUGCACGAUGGGCGCAAGCCUGAUGCAGCCAUGCCGCGUGUAUGAAGAAGGCCUUCGGGUUGUAAAGUACUUUCAGCGGGGAGGAAGGGAGUAAAGUUAAUACCUUUGCUCAUUGACGUUACCCGCAGAAGAAGCACCGGCUAACUCCGUGCCAGCAGCCGCGGUAAUACGGAGGGUGCAAGCGUUAAUCGGAAUUACUGGGCGUAAAGCGCACGCAGGCGGUUUGUUAAGUCAGAUGUGAAAUCCCCGGGCUCAACCUGGGAACUGCAUCUGAUACUGGCAAGCUUGAGUCUCGUAGAGGGGGGUAGAAGUCCAGGUGUAGCGGUGAAAUGCGUAGAGAUCUGGAGGAAUACCGGUGGCGAAGGCGGCCCCCUGGACGAAGACUGACGCUCAGGUGCGAAAGCGUGGGGAGCAAACAGGAUUAGAUACCCCCGUAGUC
rnacentral:rRNA from 1 species